rnacentral:rRNA from 1 species
UGCGUAGGCGGAAUAUUAAGUCAGUGGUGAAAUCCUGCGGCUCAACCGUAGAACUGCCAUUGAUACUGAUAUUCUUGAAUGUAGUUGAGGUAGGCGGAAUGUGCAAUGUAGCGGUGAAAUGCUUAGAUAUUACACAGAACACCGAUUGCGAAGGCAGCUUACUAAACUAUGAUUGACGCUGAGGCACGAAAGCGUGGGGAGCGAACAGGAUUAGAUACCCUGGUAGUCC